CUAAGAAUCUUGCGCAAUGGGCGAAAGCCUGACGCAGCAAUUCCGCGUGGGGGACGAAGGCCCUCGGGCCGUAAACCCCUUUUGUGAGGGAAGAAGUUCUGACGGUACCUCACGAAUAAGACACGGCUAACUACGUGCCAGCAGCCGCGGUAAUACGUAGGUGUCGAGCGUUGUCCGGAUUUAUUGAGCGUAAAGAGCCCGCAGGCGGCUUGGUAAGUUCGAGGUGAAAUCUCCCGGCUCAACUGGGAGGGUGCCUCGAAAACUAUCAGGCUUGAGGCAGGGAGAGGGAUGUGGAAUUCCCGGUGUAGUGGUGAAAUGCGUAGAUAUCGGGAGGAACAUCUGUGGCGAAGGCGACUGCCUGGACCAGCACUGACACUGAGGCACGAAAGCGUGGGGAGCAAACA
rnacentral:rRNA from 1 species